UUCAAGUAUAAUAAUUUGUGACAUUCCUUUCUUCUAAUGCCACUGGGAGCUUUUGAUAACAAGGUCGUAGUUACCUGAAAGAAACUCAAAAGUGUGGACUGUUUAUACUCCUUCUUGAAAUAGACGUAGUUCUCCUUUGACUGUUUGGGGGAAUCUUACCAACAAAGCUACCUGAGCUGUAGUUUUAUGUUGUUUUGGAGAGAGGAGGCUUUUAAUCCAUAUUUAAUUCUUUAAUCAAUGUAGAGUAUUUUUAAGUAUAGAAUUUCAAUGUCCUUUUUCUAUUCUUUUUCUCUCUGUCUCUGUCUCUGUCUGUCUGUCUCUAUCUCUAUCUCUGUUUCUCCGUGUGUGUGUGUGUGUGUGUGUGUGUGUGUGUGUGUGUGCAUCAGUGUAUACACAUGCUUGUGUAGUAUUGGUGUUCAUUUGUGUGGUCUUGUGUGCAUACAUGUGUGUGCAAACCCAUGCAUGACUGCAUGUGGAGACCAGGAGUCAGGAUCAGAUCAACCACUGAUCACCUUGUUUUUCCAGAUCGGGUCUCUCACUGAAGCUGGGGCUCAAUCAUAGGCUAGACUGACUGGCCAGCAAACCUCAAGGAUCUAUCUCCCUGUCUCCCUGUCUUGGCCUCCCCAGGCCUGGGAUUAGAGUGUUUUUGAGAGUCUGCUGCUGUUCUGCUUUCAGACGCUCUCUGAUGUGGCUUUUCCCAUGAGACAUUUUGGAGACACGUGGAGAACACUGGUGGAGAAUUUCCCACCAAAUUUUAGAGACAGUAGUGCUAUAAUGAGGAAGGGCCAGAGUGGAUAAAAGAGCAAGAAGGGAAGGGAAGAAGGUCAGCAUUGCAGAUACAGUCCUCUCCAGUCAUGGCAGGGCAGCCGAGCAUGCGCCUUCACAGCCAUGGUAACCGCACACAAAAGACUUCAGACAGUCUAACGCCCAGCAUGGGGCGGGGAGUGGGUAAGGAAUCCCAGGACUAGCUGAGGAGCCACCGGCAUUCGAUAGCAGCUAGGUGACGGGAAGUCCCAUUCCUUGACUGAUAUGACCCCUAGUAUAUCAGACCACAUGCCAGGGCAAAACCCAGGACUAGCUGCACAAGGUAAACUGGAGUUCACGAGGAACGAAAAAAAAUUUGCAGAGUUGAGUGGGAAGGAAUGGAGGGAUGGAAGGGUGGAAAGGUCGCAUAUGAAAAUAGUCGAGGGAGGGGGAAUGAAUUUGUUCAAAAUACAUUGAGUGAAAUUCUCAAAGAAUUAAUAAGGAUUGUUUAAAAUGCUGCGAUGACAAGCUUUAAGAGCACUCUUUACUUAAUGCAUUUAUUUGAAAUUCAGUCUAGA
rnacentral:lncRNA from 1 species